rnacentral:rRNA from 1 species
GGGAUAACGUCUGGAAACGGACGCUAACACCGGAUACGUCCCCAAGAGAGAUUUNGGCCGGAGAAAGAGUUACCCCCGAGAGAGGGUUACCUAGUUCCGGAUUAGGUAGUUGGUGGGGUAAUGGCCCACCAAGCCACGAUCGGUAGCUGGUCUGAGAGAUGAUCAGCCACACUGGGACUGAGACACGGCCNAGACUCUACGGGAGGCAGCAGUGGGGAAUAUUGGACAAUGGGGGCAACCCUGAUCCAGCAAUGCCGCGUGAGUGAUGAAGGCCUUAGGGUUGUAAAGCUCUUUCGCACGCGACGAUGAUGACGGUAGCGUGAGAAGAAGCCCCGGCUAACUUCGUGCCAGCAGCCGCGGUAAUACGAAGGGGGCGAGCGUUGUUCGGAAUUACUGGGCGUAAAGGGCGCGUAGGCGGCCCGA